GUUGGGAAGAAAAUAUGAAACUCACACUACACCCAACACAAAAACCUGAGUGCUUUCAACUGCGACACCACUUCAUCAGUUCAGGCAAAGAUCUUGCCUGAACUAGGAAAGCUUUUCCAAUCCAUUACAAAAGAAGAAACAAAAAGGAAAAAUUAAGAAAUGGGUACAGUUAAAGUUAUCAAAAAACCUCACAUUGUAUGUGUCCCAUAUCCAUCACAAGGCCAUGUAACCCCAAUGAUGCAACUGGCCAAGCUUUUACACUCAAAUGGCGUUUACAUAACUUUUGUUAACACAGAGUUCAACCACAGACGUCUAAUCCGGUCUAGAGGACCGGAUUCCGUUAAGGGUUUGCCGGAUUUUCGAUUUGAGACUAUACCGGACGGUCUGCCGGUGCCACCAGAUGAUUAUGAUGCCACACAAGAUGUUCCUUCCUUGUGCGAUGCAACUAGAAAGAAUUGUUUAGCUCCAUUUAAAGAGUUAAUCAACAAGUUAAAUUUAUUAUCUCAUAAUAGUGAUGAUGUGCCUCAUGUUAGUUGUAUAAUUUCAGAUGGUGUUAUGAGUUUUGGAAUCAAAGCUGGAGAGGAGUUAAAUAUACCUCAGGUUCAGUUUUGGACUGCCUCAGCUUGCAGUUUCAUGGGUUAUUUACACUAUAGUGAACUAAAAAGAAGAGGCCUCGUCCCACAUCAAGUUGAGAAUUUCCUCUGCAAUGACAUUAGUAAAACCCCCAUUGAUUGGAUUCCUGGGAUGACUAACAUCCAGUUAAAGGACAUGCCAACAUUUAUCAGAAGCACAAAUGAUGAACUAAUGUUUGAUUUCUUGGGAUCAGAGGCAGAAAACUGCUUGAACUCUUCUGCAAUUAUCUUCAACACAUUCCACGAAUUCGAAAAUGAAGUUUUACAAGCUAUAAUUGAUCACAAGUUCCCUAACAUUUAUACUAUAGGUCCUCUCCCUUUGCUUGAAAAGCAAAUCCAAGAAAAUGAACUCAACUCCGUAAAAUCAAGUUUGUGGAAAGAAGAUUCGAAUUGCCUAAAAUGGUUAGAUAAAAGAGAAGCUAAAUCUGUUGUGUAUGUAAAUUAUGGUAGUGUGGCUAUGAUGACAGAUAAAGACUUAAAAGAGUUUGCUUGGGGUCUUGCAAAUAGCAGACACCCAUUUUUAUGGAUUAUUAGGCCAGAUGUAGUUAUGGGAGAUUCUGCAAUUUUGCCUGAAGAAUUUGUUGAGGAAACUAAAGAAAGAGGAUUGUUAACCAGUUGGUGCGAACAAAAUCAAGUGCUUGCACAUCCAGCAGUUGGUGUUUUUAUCACACACUGUGGUUGGAAUUCUAUGAUGGAAAGUGUUUGUCAUGGCGUUCCAGUAAUAUGCUGGCCUUUUUUCGCUGAUCAGCAAACUAACUGUCGAUAUGCAUGCGAAAAAUGGGGGAAUGGGAUGGAGGUUAAUCAUGAUGUGAAGAGAAAUGAAAUUGAAUGUCUUAUUAAGGAAAUGAUGGAAGGGGAAAAUGGGAAGAAGGAAAAGGCAUUAGAGUGGAAAAAGAAAGCAGAAGCAGCUACAAAAGUUGGAGGAUCAUCUUACAAUAACUUUAGCAGAUUUAUUAUGGAAGCUAUCUAUCGUGGUGAUCAAGUCAUAGACUGAUGCAAUGAUCGAAAAUGCAGAAGUGUAAAAGCCUCCAGUACAAGGUGGAGAAUAUGCCAUUGCAUAAUCUUGGAAAAACUUGCUGAACUUGGUCUAUGAUGGACCAAGAGACAUGUGGUGAAUCCCAUUUCCAUAUGCGAUUCGCCCCAUGCGUGUAUUGGUUCAUGAAGGCCUAGUUCAGGCAAGUAUUACCCAUGUAGAAUCAUAGUAAUAAUGAAACUUUUGAAGUUGUAUCAAUAGCCUUGUGAUAUUGUUAUAUAAAAUUUGAUUUCUAAAAAUCCUAUAAAGUGGUAGCAUUUUCACAUGCUUAUAUUUUGGAGAA